UAUAUAUAUUGAGAGAGAGAAAAAAAGUACCGCCAAAGGAGAGAAACAAAAGCUCUUCUAGAAUGCCGCCGCAUCUGCACCCUUCUAAACUUCUAAACCCAAUUUCGAGCUUUACGCGCUUUCCUUUGUUCCUCGAUCGACCGAAUCUAUCAGCCAAUCAGACGAAGUUCGUGGUUUAUACAAAGAGUUUGAACUCAUUGAAGGUUCAUUAUUAAUUUUGUAUUCUGCAUUAUUGAUAAGCAUUUCCAUGAGUUUCCGCAGGCGUCCGCGUCGGCAAGACAGCCGGGUCAGGGAUGAGGAUGUUGAGAGGCAAUCCCUCAACAAUGAUGGAGUUGAUUCGAAAGAAAAGAAAACAACAAAGACAUUUCUUGAUCCAGAGGGGCAGUUCCUUCGAAUCUGGAGGAUGAUUUUUGCAGUGUUGGGUAUGAUGGCAGUAUCGGUGGACCCUCUAUUUUUCUACCUCCCCAUUGAUAUUCUCGCCAUUCUUCCCCUCCCUCAGAAAUCAGUGGCUCAGAAUCUGUGCACAAAAGGAAGCUUCUUAAUGGUGUUGUUCUCUACUAAUAUGUGCCAAGACUUAUCCGAAUCUCCAUGUUCAUCCGGGCUGGGAACAAACAUUCUCGAGUUGUGCGGGUGAAAGCUGCAUUAGAUCUCUUUCUGUACAUCAUGGCCAGUCACAUGGUCAUACCUCAUAGGCGGAAGCUUUGCAGAUGAAAUCAGCCCAUGAAAUCUUCUUCCUAACACUCGCCGACGACGGCGAGCACCGCUUCAGUCGACUCCCUCAUCUCGGUUCUCUCCCAAGUCAAAUCCCAAGCCACUUCAGUCGACCACCGCCCACGGCAAGUUCUUCUCCGAUGGGUUCGACCUAUCCUGGGCCCAAGCCGCCAGAUCCUCCUCCGGCGCCCGCAAGCGGCUCCACCACAUGGUUGAGUCCUUCAGACCGGUCGCCUGCCGCCGCCGGAUCGCGCUCAGCCACGACUACGUCUUCAUGCGGCACGAUAGAGGCGUGCUGUACAUGCCCCUGUCGACUGAGUCCCUUGUAUCCGGAAGAGACCAAACAGCAAAGUCAAGAAGUUCCUUCUAUCCAGAAACUCGAGAAGUCACUUAGAAACGGGUAACGGGUAAUGCCCGAUAAAAUGGAAAACGGGUACGGCCAUCCCUGCUUCCGAAGAACAUAGAAACGGUUCGGGCAUUUUUGGUCGGUUCGGGUCGGCUAAAUCGGCCGGGUCGGAAGACCGGCUUAUUUGUACACCCCUACCCAUAACACUUGGGUUUCCGUUACAACUGACAUUAAUAUUUAAUUUCACUCUUCCUGCAUCUGGCGGCCUCCAAUGGACAAUGAUCGGCAUCUUCGAACUUCUAUGUUGGAACGGUACUUCAAGCAAUCUCAGAAUUUCUUCAUCAUGUCUCGACAACACUUCUUCAUCUUUGAUCUUCAUAGUAGACCACCGAAUAGAAAAUUUUAGUCUCGCCCACACCAACUGCACUGAUUGAUGAAUGUCUUCCAUUCUAGCUUUGCAAUGUCUAUUCCAUAAGCACCAAAGAACAAUGCAUGGAAUUAUGCCGAAAAGAGAACCAACCUUUGCAGAUUUUUUUGCUUUGUGGAACCAACAAUUAACUCAAUCACGCCAACCCCUUCCUCUCUUAGAUUUCAAACCCACACCAUCAAACAUUUUAUCCCAAAGCAUUUCCACAAACUCACCAUUUGUUAAGACAUGGUCUAGAUCUUCAUAUGCCCCAGAAGAGCAACAAUUGCAUCUCGACACAAUAGGAAUCCCCAACAUUCGCACAUUGUCAUCCACACUCAAAGCAUUUAAAAAUGCUUUCCUUUAAAUGCUUUCCAAAUUAUAACAGUUUUUAUUUUUUAACUUUUUUAUUAUUUUAUUAUUUAUUAUUUUUUUUGGGGGGGGAGUGUAAAGAGGGAUGCCAUACCCAUUUAGCAAGACCAAGCACUCUUUGUAGUGAACUUCCCAUCAACAUUUUCAGUUCAUACUAAAAUAUCCUCCCCUUGUUUGUGAUGACCCAGCCAUUGCAUUAUGGAUAAAACAUUAUCAACGCCAACCACCUGAGUAAUCAGUCCAAAACCCCAUUCAUUUUGAAGCUUACAUCCCCGAACCAAGAUCUUUGGGAAAGGACUCACCAGAAAAGAAUUUAUUAGAGACCCAUCAUCCGACCAUUUAUCAUGCCAAAAUGAAAUUCUCCCCUCCCUUAUUUUCCACCAAGGUUGAUUUAAAACCAAAGGAAUACAUCUACCAAUCAUAUGCCAACUUCGAGAUCCCUUAGAAGGAUCAAUCAAGAUUACUUUUAACGUACUUAGCCCGGAAAAAUUUGGCCCAAAGCGGUUUUUCAUGAAGUAAUUUCCAAACAAAUUUAACAUGCAAGGAACGUUGAAUAUCAUCCAACGUCUUUAGUCCUGUGCCACCUUCCUCCACCGGCAAGCAAAUCUUGUUCCAAGCUCUCCAACAUCUUUUAUCACCCCCUUGUGAAGAGCCCCAAAAAAAUUUACUAUGAGGCAACCAUUUAUUCUCUGCAACACAAUUUUAGGAGCCUGGACACAAGAUAAUAAAUGAAUAGGCAAACUUAUCAAAACUUGCCAAAUUAAAACUAGACGAGCACCUUGAGAUAAAAGUUGGGUCUUCCAUCCUCGUCUUAUCAUUUGUAUUGCUUAAUUAUUCAAGUUUUCUUAAUUUGGCAAGUCUCAGAUCUUAUCAGGAUUUUAACUUUAGGUUGCAAAUGGAUCACCAGCUUGAUAAAUCAUAGGCAUAUAUGCACCUCACACACACAUGUACAUACAUAUAUUAUAUAUAUGAACUUCAUAUCCCUAUAUUGUUGUGGAAAGCACUAGAGCAACCAUACCCACACACAAUGAUAUCAAGACAAACAAUGAAACAAUAAUGUAGAAACACAGGAAUUAAGCACACACACACAACACACAUGAGUCUUUAAAGUGUUCGACAACAUGUCUACGUCUACAGAUAAGGGUGUAACCGGUCUAGUUUUAGAUAAAAUCUAGGACCGAACCGGUAUGUACCGGUUUCGUAUUUUCAAAAAUCGAUUACGCACUAGUUAUCUCUCUAAACUGGUAUGUCCGGUUUUAAUAGUUCCGGUCAGGCCGAUCCGGUUUUCUGGUUUUAAUAUAUUAAGUAUAUUAUUAUUACUAAUAUAUUUAUCAAAAGAAAUAUAUUGAGAAUUUAUUAGGAAAUAAAAUGUAUUUAAUAUAUAUAUAUUUUGUAUUUAAA